rnacentral:rRNA from 1 species
GACGAACGCUGGCGGCGUGCCUAAUACAUGCAAGUCGAACGCACAGUUUAUACCGUAGCUUGCUACACCAUAAACUGUGACUUGCGAACGGGUGAGUAACGCGUAGGUAACCUGCCUGGUAGCGGGUGAUGACAAUUGGACACAAUACCUAAUACCGCAUAAUCUUGAUUAUUGCAUGAUAAUUGAUUGUAAUAUUCUAUUGCAUCACUAGCAGAUGGCUCUGCUUUGUAUUUGCUAGUAUGUGAGGUUACGGAUUACCUAAGCCACGAUACAUCGGCGACCUGAGAAGGUGAACGGCCAACCUUGGACUGAGACACCGCCCAGGAUCCUACGGGAGGCAGAAGUAGGGGAUUUUCGGGAAUGGACGAAAGUCUGGCCGGGCAACGCCGGGGGAGUGAAGAAAGUUUUCGGAUCGGAAAGCUCUUUUGUAAGGGAAGAAAGGGUGGUAGAGUGGAAAGUGCACACUUUGACGGUACCUUACCAGAAAGGGACGGCUAACUACGUG